UGCAAGUCGAGCGGACAGAAUGGGAGCUUGCUCCCUGAUGUUAGCGGCGGACGGGUGAGUAACACGUGGGUAACCUGCCUGUAAGACUGGGAUAACUCCGGGAAACCGGGGCUAAUACCGGAUGGUUGUUUGAACCGCAUGGUUCAGACAUAAAAGGUGGCUUCGGCUACCACUUACAGAUGGACCCGCGGCGCAUUAGCUAGUUGGUGAGGUAACGGCUCACCAAGGCGACGAUGCGUAGCCGACCUGAGAGGGUGAUCGGCCACACUGGGACUGAGACACGGCCCAGACUCCUACGGGAGGCAGCAGUAGGGAAUCUUCCGCAAUGGACGAAAGUCUGACGGAGCAACGCCGCGUGAGUGAUGAAGGUUUUCGGAUCGUAAAGCUCUGUUGUUAGGGAAGAACAAGUGCCGUUCAAAUAGGGCGGCACCUUGACGGUACCUAACCAGAAAGCCACGGCUAACUACGUGCCAGCAGCCGCGGUAAUACGUAGGUGGCAAGCGUUGUCCGGAAUUAUUGGGCGUAAAGGGCUCGCAGGCGGUUUCUUAAGUCUGAUGUGAAAGCCCCCGGCUCAACCGGGGAGGGUCAUUGGAAACUGGGGAACUUGAGUGCAGAAGAGGAGAGUGGAAUUCCACGUGUAGCGGUGAAAUGCGUAGAGAUGUGGAGGAACACCAGUGGCGAAGGCGACUCUCUGGUCUGUAACUGACGCUGAGGAGCGAAAGCGUGGGGAGCGAACAGGAUUAGAUACCCUGGUAGUCCACGCCGUAAACGAUGAGUGCUAAGUGUUAGGGGGUUUCCGCCCCUUAGUGCUGCAGCUAACGCAUUAAGCACUCCGCCUGGGGAGUACGGUCGCAA
rnacentral:rRNA from 1 species